GAACCAACUGACCUAAUCUUUCAGCUUAUCAAAUAUCAUUUGAUAUUAACAAUACAUAUCCAAUCAGGUGACAAAUCUUGUUAUUUCUGCUUUCAAGACAUCUCUCCUCAUCUCCACCUCUUGGAAUCCCUGAGUUCUUUCAAGACAGCUCAUGCAUUACCUCCUGCCAAAGGCUUUUCCCAGUCUCCUCAGCUAAUGUUGAGUUUCAGAUGUCUCAGUUUUCAUACAGACCCUACAAGCAAUGUCAUGUGGUCCCAUUCUGGAGUAGAUCUCAACAGAAGCUUGAACAUGAGUCUUCAUAGAAGAGCUGGUCAGCAACAGAGGUUCCUAGAGAAAGGCUCACCAUGAACCAGAGUAUCAUAGCCAGAGAGAAAAGGUCUUUGUUUAGCAAGAUGGUGAAACCAAAAGAAGAAAAUCCUACCUUGUUUUUUGCAAAGUCAUUCUCUUGACUUUCCCAGAGGCUGUCCUGAGACUGCAGAAGCACAUGGCAUUUCCCUGGAGUUAUGGCCUGAUGAGGAGUCAGAUACAUAUCUAAAAUCAAAAUUUAGAAAACUUAGAAUAGCAGCAGAUUAAAGUCCCAAGGAUCUUUUCCUCAAAAAGCAAAAUUUUACUAAUUAUAAAUUAAGUUGAGAUUAUUAUCAUUUUCCCCUCAUGUCUACAUAAAUUUCAGGGUCUGCUAUUGAUCUUUCACAUAAUAAUAAUUGCAAUCUGGACUUUUACUCAUAUACAGAGAGUGCCAGUUCAUAUAUACAGUAAAUGAAUGGUUGGUUCAAAAAUAUAGCUUCCCUAUAUACUAAUUAUUAAUGUACAGUCCCAU
ensembl:lncRNA